rnacentral:lncRNA from 1 species
CAAUUCAUCCUCGUUUGUAAUUACGUAGGUCUGGGGCUCUGAGCCCCAAGGCACUUCAGAACCGAGUACCCGCUUUCCUCUUUACAGGCUGGCUUUUCCAGUGAACCCUCCCCCUGCCCUCUAUCUGCACGUUCCCAGCCUGGGAAAAGAUGGCUCCACAGCCCCUAAGGGGCCUGGUCCCAUUUCUGCUCUGGUGCUUGAGCCUGUUUCUUAGCCUCCCAGGACCUGUCUGGCUCCAACCCUCUCCUCCUCCCCAUUCUGCUCCCCGAGCUGAGCCCCAUCCAUGUCAUACCUGCCGGGCACUGGUGGACAGCUUCAACAAGGGCCUGGAGAGAACUAUCCGGGACAACUUUGGUGGUGGAAACACUGCUUGGGAGGAAGAGAAGUUGUCCAAAUACAAAGACAGGGAGGUGGAGAGAGACCCGAGGAGCAGGUGGGUGGACGAUGUUCUUCUCAUCCCUGUCCUGUCUGCUCAGUGAGACCCGCCUGGUGGAGGUGCUGGAGGGUGUGUGCAGCAAGUCAGACUUCGAGUGCCACCGCCUGCUAGAGCUCAGCGAGGAGCUGGUGGAAGCCUGGUGGUUCCACAGGCAGCAAGAAGCCCCUGACCUCUUCCAGUGGCUCUGUUCAGAUUCCCUGAAGCUCUGCUGCCCCUCUGGGACUUUCGGUCCCUCCUGCCUGCCAUGUCCUGGGGGCACAGAGAGGCCCUGCGGUGGCUACGGGCAG